UCAUAAUCUGUUGCUGCACAAUUGUACAGUCUUUCCCAUGGAGAAUGAGUCCAGCAUCACCUCAGCAGGCCUGCUGCUACUUUGUUUUUACUGGGACUGCAGAAGGGCUUCUCAGAGUCAGGAUCUCUCAAAAUGAGGUUGCAAUGUCCUCUGGGAAUAGCCUGUCUGAGAUUCAUUUUGGAGGCUCACAGACCCAAGUUCCUACAGAGAGUUCUGAGUCAGUCCUUGGGCAGCACGUCACCACACUGUAUCCAAUGCAGCUUUCCUGAAUGUCAGCAAAAUGGGACAAAGAGAAUGAAUGAGAAGGCGCCAGGGCAGCAGGAUGAAGGGAAGCUCACCUGAGCCUUCGUAUCUGCACUGUCACCUGCCUGAGACCUGUCCUGCCCAACCCUUGCCAGCAGGGACGAGCUCUGGAGAGAAACUGUAAAAACACCUAAA